rnacentral:lncRNA from 1 species
CGGCGCGCGCUCGGCGGCGAGGGAGGCCUGGGGGCGGCGCCGAAGACGCGGGAGCACCGCCGACGGGGUAAUUCUCAGCAGCGCGGAGCAUCGAAGUGACUGAAAUCGUGACCCACCGGGCGGUGGGAGAAGAGCAAAGAGAAAGCUUUGCUUUCGUAAGCUCUGGUGCCUCGAUUCGUGGAUAAGACCGUCGUUCAGAGCACCGUGCUGUGAAGCUGUGGAGUGAGGAGAGCCCUGCGGAAGCGGGCACGGCUUCGUCUAGCCGAAGAAUUUCGGCGGUGGUCGUGGAGGUGGUUUUGGUGGCAGUGACAGUUUUGGUCAAGGAGGAAACUUCAGUGGUCUCCGCUUUGGUGGCAGCCGAGUGAAUCGUAUUAAAAGCCCAGCGUUGGAUGCAGUCACCAAGGGAGUGCGUGCAGAUGGAGCGGAAGACCGGAGACUGAGUCCUGGGAUCAAGAAUUAAAGCCCGAGGCAAAUAGUAAGGCAUCAAGAGCCAGCUGCCAGCCCCUGGAGGACCUGUGCCUCAGAGCCUGUCUCUGGCCUCGCACCCUCAGUCUCGGGCAGCAGACCCUUGCCCAGCCUCCUCUGCAGGGCCAAAUCCUGGGCCAGGUCUGAUUCACCCCUGCAGCUCUAGAGCUUCAUGUCCUUCCUGAGAAACCACGGAAGUCACAGCUGUGUGAGCAAGUGAGGCUUUGCCCCAGUAACUUCAUAGGAUGCCUGUACCUUGGGUGACCCAGUUUCAACCCCGAAAAACCUCCCUAGACUUUGAUUCUUUAACCCAGUGUUAAAGAGCACUAGUAAUUAAAUGAUUUGUGGUAGCAGUGCCUUGCCAAUUAUCUUUAAUAAAAUUUGUUGGACAUCUUCAUUAUCAUGAUCAUAAAUAAUGGCAAAAAUUCUGUUGUAGAUAAUGGUCUGUAGAGCAAUAUGCCAGGAGAAA